AGUUUGAUCCUGGCUCAGGAUGAACGCUAGCUACAGGCUUAACACAUGCAAGUCGAGGGGCAGCAUCAUCAAAGCUUGCUUUGAUGGAUGGCGACCGGCGCACGGGUGAGUAACACGUAUCCAACCUGCCGACAACACUGGGAUAGCCUUUCGAAAGAAAGAUUAAUACCGGAUGGCAUAGUUUUCCCGCAUGGGAUAAUUAUUAAAGAAUUUCGGUUGUCGAUGGGGAUGCGUUCCAUUAGGCAGUUGGCGGGGUAACGGCCCACCAAACCAACGAUGGAUAGGGGUUCUGAGAGGAAGGUCCCCCACAUUGGAACUGAGACACGGUCCAAACUCCUACGGGAGGCAGCAGUGAGGAAUAUUGGUCAAUGGACGAGAGUCUGAACCAGCCAAGUAGCGUGAAGGAUGACUGCCCUAUGGGUUGUAAACUUCUUUUAUAAAGGAAUAAAGUCGGGUAUGGAUACCCGUUUGCAUGUACUUUAUGAAUAAGGAUCGGCUAACUCCGUGCCAGCAGCCGCGGUAAUACGGAGGAUCCGAGCGUUAUCCGGAUUUAUUGGGUUUAAAGGGAGCGUAGGCGGGUUGUUAAGUCAGUUGUGAAAGUUUGCGGCUCAACCGUAAAAUUGCAGUUGAUACUGGCGACCUUGAGUGCAACAGAGGUAGGCGGAAUUCGUGGUGUAGCGGUGAAAUGCUUAGAUAUCACGAAGAACUCCGAUUGCGAAGGCAGCCUGCUGGACUGUAACUGACGCUGAUGCUCGAAAGUGUGGGUAUCAAACAGGAUUAGAUACCCUGGUAGUCCACACAGUAAACGAUGAAUACUCGCUGUUGGCGAUAUACGGUCAGCGGCCAAGCGAAAGCAUUAAGUAUUCCACCUGGGGAGUACGCCGGCAACGGUGAAACUCAAAGGAAUUGACGGGGGCCCGCACAAGCGGAGGAACAUGUGGUUUAAUUCGAUGAUACGCGAGGAACCUUACCCGGGCUUGAAAGUUACUGACGAUUCUGGAAACAGGAUUUCCCUUCGGGGCAGGAAACUAGGUGCUGCAUGGUUGUCGUCAGCUCGUGCCGUGAGGUGUCGGGUUAAGUCCCAUAACGAGCGCAACCCCUACCGUUAGUUGCCAUCAGGUCAAGCUGGGCACUCUGGCGGGACUGCCGGUGUAAGCCGAGAGGAAGGUGGGGAUGACGUCAAAUCAGCACGGCCCUUACGUCCGGGGCGACACACGUGUUACAAUGGUCGGUACAGAGGGCAGCUACCUGGUGACAGGAUGCGAAUCUCGAAAGCCGGUCUCAGUUCGGAUUGGAGGCUGAAACUCGCCUCCAUGAAGUUGGAUUCGCUAGUAAUCGCGCAUCAGCCAUGGCGCGGUGAAUACGUUCCCGGGCCUUGUACACACCGCCCGUCAAGCCAUGGGAGUUGGGGGUGCCUGAAGUACGUGACCGCAAGGAGCGUCCUAG
rnacentral:rRNA from 1 species